rnacentral:ribozyme from 1 species
UUUUUUUUUUUUUUUUUUUUUUUCUUAUCCUUUUCACU